rnacentral:lncRNA from 1 species
UGCAGCUUUAGGAGAUGGGAGAAGGCAAUCAACUCUGUUAUUGCCAAAGUGGCCUAUAACAUCCAUGCCUUUUUGAAAAUAUUCAAGAAAGAAUCAUAAUAAUCCUGGUUCCCGCCGACGAGAUGCUGAGCCCGACCUGGAUCAUAUGCAUGUCACAAAUUCAGGAGAAGUAUAUUAUUUUUCCAAAAGGUUCUCUGGCCUGAUUGAUGAAAAACACAACCUGAGAGCUGAAAGAAACAAAGAAAAUAUCCUCCAAAGGACGAUAGAGAAGCACUACCAUUUUCAACAAGAUAAUGGAAAAAAGAGCCAGAACAAGUCUAAUAUAAAUAAUUACUUAGAUUGCUCAACAGGAUUUUUGUUGUUGAAUUUGCCUAGAAUAUCAACAUCUAUGCUACAACAAAAGGCAAGCGGCUAUAGUAUGCGACCGAUGUCAUGACAAAAAUUAAUCCUGAGCGUUCAUUUUAAAAUGAAUGAUCUAACAAACAUAGAACUUUGCAAGAUUUGCAGAUCAGAAAUCUCUUCAUGUGUUGCAAUGCAACUUGAGUGGCAAAAGCUAGCGUAACAUAAGCUAGUUACUACCUACUUCAUGAACAUGAAAACUGGCUACUGCACACACGGCUACCAAAAGAAGCUUCAAGAAAGCUUAGCUAACUUCUGAAGAAAAAAAUGCAGCAACUGUAGUGGGACGAACCCAGAAAGCCUUGUUCAACGAUAUCAUGCUCAACAUUAAAGCAGAGAUAACUGGAAAAAAAUUAGCUCUGAAUCAGUCCUGUAGCUCCUCAUUCAUGAAUGCAUUAAAAUGUAACUUUCCAUCUCCAUUACGCAAAUAAUUCCCAACAUGUAUACAGUUAUAGGGUUUGUAAAUGUGACUUACAAACUGAGACAAAUAUGUGAACUGUGCUGCCAAUCUCAAUCCAACUAAAGCCUGGCAUCUCAAUGCCACAGAUAUACCUCAUCCUCACCCUUUGCACAUCCACCCAAC